GAUCCCCUGGGGUUCGGGGACCCCCAGCAGGAUGGGCCGGGGGAGCCGCAGGGGAGGCUGAGCCCCCCCCUCUGGAGCCACCUGCCCACCAGUAAGGGACUGGGGAGCACUGGGAGAAGGGACAGGGGCCACUGGGACGUGCUGGGAGGUACUGGGGGGCACUGGGAAGGGACUGGGAUGCCCUGGGGUUAAAUAGGGCGUAGUGGGGGCACUGGGAUUAAAUAGGGGGUGUGGGAUUUACUGGGGGGCACUGGGAGGUAUUGGGGGGCACUGGGAAGGGACUGGGAGGCACUGGGAUUGAACAGGGGGCUUUGGGAGUUACUGGGGGGCACUGGGAGUCACAGGGGGUUCCCUGCCCCCCCAGGUGCCCCCCCCAAGCCGCUGGCCCCGGGGCAGCCCUGGAUCGAGCCCCUCCCCCCGUUUGAGGACGCCGCCAGCCCCGAGCCCAGCCCCUCGGACAGCGGCGUGGAGCUGAGCGGGGACUCGGCCGCCUGCAGCCAGCGCAGCUCCCCCGACGGGGGCCUGGCCCCGAACCCGCCCGGGGGGGCGCAGCCGGGGGGGCCCCCCCUGCCCGAGGGGCCCCCGGAGCCGCGGUGCCGCCUGCCCCCCCCCCGCGAGGACACCCAGGUACGGGGGCCCCGAAACCCCGGGGGGGGCGGGGGGGGGGGUUCAGGUAAACCCUGAGCCCCCCCCGCACACCCUGCCCCCCCCCCCCCCAGUUGUGCGGGGCCCCCCCCACGGCCCCCCCGGGCCCCAUCGGCACCGAGCGCUCCCAGCGAGCCCGGAACCCCCCCGGCGGGGGCGGCGAGGUCUGGGGGCCCCCCCACGGCACCGACGGGGACCCCCGGCCCCGAGAGCGCGGAGAGAAGGAGGGAGUGCCCCCCCCCGGGGGGGGAGACGGGCUCAGCGUUGCCCCCCGGGACUGGGAGCUGCUGCCUGGGGGGGGUCCCGAGGCCCCCCCAAAUCGGCCCCUGGAGUCCAAGGGCCCCCCCGGGGACCCCCCCGGGCCCAGCCAGCGCCCGUUCCCCGAGCUCUGCUACGGGGGGGCUGCAGCCGCCGGGCAGGUGCCCCCCCCAGCCACGGAGCCCCCCCCCGGCAGCAGCAGCAGCUUCCGGCCAGGGACGCCCUCGCUGACCCCGUACAGGCCGGUGCUGGUGGCGGGGGCGGGGCUGCCCCUCCCCCCGCUCAAGGGCCCCUUCAUGGAUUUCCCGGCCCUGGGGGGCCCCGACCUGGCCAAGCUGGGGGGGGCGGGGGGGGUCCUGUACCCGCCCCCGUUCCUGUACGGGCCCUACUGCCCCGACCCCCCCGUGCUGCAGGUGCGGCAGGAGCUGACCCCGCCCUCGGAGUUCUACGGGCAGGGCCAGAGCAGCUUCCAGCAGGUACGGCCACACCUGGGCUGGCCCCGCCCCCCGGGCUGGCCCCGCCCCCCGUAACCCCCUCCCCCCGUGUCCCCCCAGAUGCUGCUGCCGCUGGUGGAGCCCCCCCCGGUCCCGCCCGUCGUCAACUUCGGGGCCCCCCCGGCGCCGCCCCUCCCCCUCCUGCCGCUGGGGCGGCUCCUGGCCCCGCCCGCCCGGCCCUUCGCCCCGCCCCCCCACCGCGGGCCCCGCCCCCGCCCGGCCGAGCCCCCCCCUCCCCCCGGGGCGCCGGCCCCUCCCCCCGCCGCCCCUCCCCCCACCCUGCCUCCCCCUGUCCCCCGUGCCGCCCCUCCCCCCCCGGGGUCCCGCCGCCCCCCCAGCGCUUGGGGCCCCCCCCGGGCCCCCCCGGAGCCGCAGCGCCCCCAGUGACCCCUCCCCCACCCGGGGGGUCCCGGUAUUUAUGCGGGUGGGGGAGUGGCCGGACGUAAUCCCCCUCCCCCUCUCCUUGCGUGGGGCGCGGCCCCUCCCCCUCCUUUGGUAAAGAAACGUUGAAAACGAUAAAAAACACAAAAAUGAAACCAAACGGCCCCGGCAGAGGAAUAAAGGUGCAGCAACAUCCCGUGGUGGGCGUGGCGAGGGGCGGGGCCGCGUUUAUUGGGGGGGCUCGCGGGGGGGCUCGCGCGGGGGCAGGGGCUCCCCGAAGGCGCGGUGGGCGUUGGGGAAGCGCCGGGGGCUGAAGUCGGGGUCCUCGCGCAGCCGGCGCUGCAGGUCCGCCUGGAGCUGGGGGAGGGGCGCGGGGGCUGGGGGUGGCGCCCGAGCCCCGCCCCCAACGAGCCCCGCCCCCAGCCCCCACCCAGGGGCUCUCUGAA
ensembl:lncRNA